AGAAGCAAGGUAGUUCUAUGUUUUUGCUAAAGCAAGCAUAGUUGAAGAAAUUCCAGAAAGGCUCAGAAAAGCUAGUAGAUCAAAGCAGAAGAUAACCUUUUAUGAUGAGAAACUGGAGCUCUGGAAAAAGCAUGUUGAAAACAGUUACGUUGUCAGUGAGUUUCAUCCAUGUAUCAGCAUAAAUUGACAGAGUCAAGUGAAAUGCAUGGCAAGAUAUCUGUAUUGAUUGGCAGACUUGGCUGGUGAAGCUAUUAUGGGCACGCAGUGAAUUUCCUUUUCAGAAGCUGAUUGGCAUCUUUGCAGAAAUAAGCAGCUUGAUGAGGGCUAAUGUGAGGAGGGAAGAGGUUCCAGCACAUGUCCUUGAUGAUACAGAUACUCCAAGGCUCCACGGGUCUUCUUUUUAUCUCCUGAACUCCAGAGUUCCUGUUCUGCUCCCUAACGUGGGCAAAGAGAAAACACUCCAGUAAUGAAGAAGACAUCGAGCUAUAAGAACAGCUAUGGGCAGGAUAGAGGGAAGACCGUUACUGAAUCUACAAAGGGAUUUCGGUUAUGUGUCUCACCAAUCAGUGGAAUUGCAACAGUCGCCAUUCACAAACUGUUACUUAAUACUUCAUGAUUAAUUCACCUCAUUUAACCUAUCUUCAAUAUUUGACUCGUCCGACUUUUUGGUACUUUAUACAGAAGUGCAAGACACAGGAACAAAUCAGUUUCCAAGUGUUUUUUGUUAGCCAAGAUUGUUAGCAGAACAUUUUUUCAAUGUAUAGAGGCUAAGCUGACAGUGAAGUGGUAUUUUUCUGCAUUAAUUAUUAGGCAGGUUAAAUAGUGCCAGUUUUAGAAUGGGUACAAUCUUUAGCUUGUUGGCAAGCAGAGAGGUUCCAAUUCUGCCUGUAAAUGAAAGGAACUAGUGUUUGCCAAUUAAAUCAAGCAGCUGUUUCACAGACAGUAUUGCUAAUAGCUACCAACUAAACUCCAAGCUGUUACUCGGGAUUGUUUCAUGAACUGCUUUUAUUAAAUAGUAAAUGCUAACCUCUGUAUCUCAAUUUACUGAGAAGAAGGGAGGGCUAUUUAAAGGCACAGCUCCCCCCAAAUUUCUAUAGUGUCAUAGGAACCUUCUGUGCCAAGGAAGCACUCUUAUGCUAUAUAGAUUUAUAAGAAUCCUGACGAGAGU